GGUUAAGUGUUUGCCAGUAGGGCGACACUUUUUUUGCUAUACUUUGUAUACCAAACUUGAAUUUUUAUAUAAAUUGGCAAAAUUGUACGUCAAAAUGAAAAAAUUUAAACGUCGGAAACGUCGUAAUUGUCAAAUUUUGACUCGAACAAUUAUUUCCUAACCGCCAUAUUAUAUUGCAACCACCGAGUAACCACGCCCGGAAUUUCGGAUUUUUAGUUUUUUCUGCAUAUAUAUUUUCUGAGCCCUAAUACUUUAUUGUGAGAAUAUUAUUCGUCGCUUCUAGGGAUUUACUAUGGAAAAUACAGUGAAACGUAAUGUGAGAUAUCAAAAAUGUACUAUUUGUGGUCUAAAGAGGACCCCUGGACUGGAGCCAAUGUAUUUUUGAAGAAGUUUCCA